GACGAACGCUGGCGGCGUGCCUAAUACAUGCAAGUCGAGCGAAGUUUUUCUGGUGCUUGCACCGGAAAAACUUAGCGGCGAACGGGUGAGUAACACGUAAAGAACCUGCCUCAUAGACUGGGACAACUAUUGGAAACGAUAGCUAAUACCGGAUAACAGCAUUAACUGCAUGGUUGAUGUUUAAAAGUUGGUUUUGCUAACACUAUGAGAUGGCUUUACGGUGCAUUAGCUAGUUGGUGGGGUAAAGGCCUACCAAGGCGACGAUGCAUAGCCGACCUGAGAGGGUGAUCGGCCACACUGGGACUGAGACACGGCCCAGACUCCUACGGGAGGCAGCAGUAGGGAAUCUUCCGCAAUGGGCGAAAGCCUGACGGAGCAACGCCGCGUGAGUGAAGAAGGAUUUCGGUUCGUAAAGCUCUGUUGUUAGGGAAGAAUGAUUGUGUAGUAACUAUACACAGUAGAGACGGUACCUAACCAGAAAGCCACGGCUAACUACGUG
rnacentral:rRNA from 1 species